rnacentral:lncRNA from 1 species
GUCAGAUUUGCUCUUAAUGCUUUGGUUUUUGAGUUAUAAGCCAAAAACUGCAUUUUACCCCUAUGUUCUAUUUUUAGCCAUGGCGGCCAUCUUGGUUGGUUGGCCAGGUCACGCCACACAUAUUUUAAACUAGAUACCCCAAUGAUGAUUGUGGCCAAGUUUGGUUUAAUUUGGCCCAGUAGUUUCAGAGGAGAAGAUUUUUGUAAAAGUUAACGACGACGGAAGACGGACGACGACGGAUGACGAUGACGACGGACGCCGGAUGCCAAGUGAUGGGAAAAGCUCACUUGGCCCUUCGGGCCAGGUGAGCUAAAAAUGGUUAAAAAUUGACUAUAAAGGUCAAUAACUCCUAAAGGGGUAAACUGACCAUUUUGGUCAUGUUGACUUAUUUGUAAAUCUUACUUUGCUGAACAUUAUUGCUGUUUACAGUUUAUCUCUAUCUAUAAUAAUAUUCAAGAUAAUAGCCAAAAACAGCAAAAAUUCCCUAAAAUUACCAGUUCAGGGGCAGCAACCCAAUAACGGGUUGUUGGAUUCAUCUGAAAAUUUGAGGGCAGAUAGAUCUUGACCUGAUAAACAAUUUAACCCCAUGUCAGAUUUGCUCUAAAUUCUUUGGUCUUUGAGUUAUAAGCCAAAAACUGCAUUUUACCCCAUGUUCUAUUUUUAGCCAUGGCGGCCAUCUUGGUUGGUUGGCCGGGUCACGCCACACAUUUUUUUAACUAGAUACCCCAAUGAUGAUUGUGGCCAAGUUUGGUUUAAUUUGGCCCAGUAGUUUCAGAGGAGAAGAUUUUUGUAAAAGUUAACGACGACGGACAACGACGACGACGGACGACGGACGACGGACGACGGACGACGGACGACGGACGCCAAGUGAUGGGAAAAGUUCACUUGGCCCUUCGGGCCAGGUGAGCUAAAAAUAGACCAAAACACAAAAACUUAACACUGUGCAAUGAACCGUGCAAUUGAGGUCAUGGUCAAAUAAAACCUGCGGGACUGACAUAUAGAUCAUAAUAUAUUUCCAUACACCAAAUAUAGUUGACCUUUGGCAUAUAAUAUUAGAUAAAAAGACCAAAACUUAAAAACUUAACUUUGACCACUGAACCAUGAAAAUGAGGUCAAGGUCAGAUGACAUCUGCCCGCUAGACAUGUACACCUUACAAUCAUUCCAUACAACAAAUAUAGUAGACCUAUUGCAUAAAGUAUGAGAAAAACAGACAAAAACACAAAAACUUAACUAUAACCACUGAACCAUGAAAAUGAGGUUAAUGUCAGAUGACAUCUGCCAACUAGACAUGUACACCUUACAAUCAUUCCAUACAACAAAUAUAG